rnacentral:misc_RNA from 1 species
AAAGUGUACUGUGCAAGCUCCCUGUCAAACAGCUAGUUAGCUUCUACUGACAUAAUGUCAAUGAAGAAUGAAGAUAUCAUAAAAGUCUAUACUCAUCAUGUGUCAUUUAAGAAAAGAUAAGAGAGAGCAGGAAAAAAAAAUCAAUCCCAUUCUAUUCAUUGGUUUUUACAAAGAUAGGAAUAACUUUUAAAUCAUUCAAUUUAAACUUAAAAAAACUGCGUGACCUCCUCAGAUUUAAAGG